UACGUAGGUGACCAGCGUUGUCCGGAUUUACUGGGCGUAAAGAGCGCGCAGGCGGUCGUUCAAGUCGCGUGUGAAAGCCCCCGGCUCAACUGGGGAGGGUCACUUGAUACUGAUCGACUCGAAGGCAGGAGAGGGAAGCGGAAUUCUCGGUGUAGUGGUGAAAUGCGUAGAUAUCGGGAGGAACACCAGUGGCGAAGGCGGCUUCCUGGCCUGUUCUUGACGCUGAGGCGCGAAAGCUAGGGGAGCAAACGGG
rnacentral:rRNA from 1 species